AUGGCUCUUGUUGCAAAAAAGAAAACAUUUGCAAUUCUUUCUUUCAAGCAUUGUUCCAGUUGGACAGCUGUGCACGGACAGGCUCUCAAGCACAACAGACCGAGCGAGCCGAGAUGGCAUCCGCUUGGCCGCCGUGGGUCAUCCUUGGUAGCGUGCCGCGGGUGGCGGCCGACCUCUCCCUCGCGCUCCCGGCCCGGCGCCCUCUCGCGUGGCGCUCCUCGCCAUCCCCCCGCGCGUCUUCCCGGGCCUCUCCUAGUGCCUGCUCACCUGCGAGUCUCUGGUGGGUCGCACUCGGGGAGACUCUGGUGGGUCGGCCUCUCCUGGUCCCUGCUCACCUGCGACACCUUCGACGACGCGCCGGUGCUGAGCGUCGUCCAGCCACCGCCGGGCAAGGCGCUCAAGAGCAAUCAGGUUCAGGGCCUCGGAGGCUUGGGGGUUGCUCGACAAGUACCGCUGCGUGGGUGUCAGCGCCGGCAGGCUACGGUUCUUGGACAUAUGUACAGGAACCGUAGCAGCGGCGCCGCUGCACAGAUCAGCGUGUGGACGACGCUCGGCGGUCCGGACUCCGCGGAGUGGACGCUGGAGCACGAGGCCACCUUUGCGGAAAUCUGCAAGAUCCCCGUGCUUGCGCUCAGCCAUGAGCCUACUGUUCACUCUGCUCCGCUCCACCGGAUGGAGCUGCGGAUAACCGAAUCGGUCCAUACUACAUACAUUGAUGGGACGUCCACUAAUCAUGCACCAGUCCAUCUCUACCGAGGGGCAGUCCCCUUGGGACUGAGACACAACCCACAGGAACAUCUCUCCCCCCAAGCUGCCCAAUCCAGUAAGGCACAGCAACCCACAAGAAGCGCUCUCCAGGACGAUCCAGCAUCUUCCUUGAGCACAUCCGAGUCCAGCUCAGACUUCAACAACCUGAACUCAGGUGUGCUCAACUUGUCUGCAACAACCUUAACCUGUGCUCGAUCUAGUAGGAUCCCUGUGCUUGCACUCAGCCAUGAGCCUACUUGGUGUUGUUGCCGAAGCUCGGCUGACGCCGUCGGCACAACACCACUAAAGUUGUUGGUCAACAGGUUGAGAUGCGUCAUCAAUGGUGAUAGCCCAUUGAUGUCGCCUGGAAGGACUCCAUCGAAGGAGUUGUGUGAGAGAUCGAGAAAUUGGAGCUCGGUGCAGGCAUAUAGCGUAGCACCAGGGAAGGCACCAGUGAGGUUGUUCCAAGAGAGAUCGAGGAGCGUCAUACUCCUGAGGUUGCUCACCGAUGCCGGCAUGCUGGUGAAUUGUCAAGAGGAGACUGCCAAUGGCGUGAAGGAAGAGCUGCAGCAACUGCAUCUUUUAGCCCUAUGCUUGAUCCACCCUAUUGGCUCAGAACUGAACUCAGCACUGCAAGUGCUUCAUAGGAUUAGGGCUGACACCGUGGCAGUAAUUGAUGCAAACUUCACCAUGAGACCUUGUCAUCGCCUGACGCCUUCCUCCAUAGUCGAUGGAGUGCUCAUCAGAGGGGAAACCGAGCAUCCUUUACAUCAGGCAGGUGAGGAGGAUCUUCACUUGUCCGCUCUUGGAGGCCUCAACAGUGGGUCAAAGGGUUUCUGCUUUGUGGAAUGCGGUAGCAGUACUCUAUCACCGCCCAAGAAACCAAAAAUGAGCUAG
rnacentral:rRNA from 1 species